UUUGGGCGACUUCGAAUCCCUCUGGUUCUAGGCCUGCUCCACGUUUCUCCCUUGCAGGAGAUUCUGUGGACGCAGAGCGAGGCAUAUUAUUCGUCUAUGAGGGAUGUAACAAAGAGCUUGAAGCUCUGGAUGACAUGUAUUUCCUCGACACAGAGAUGCUGAGGGAGAAAGAUCCAUCAGAACCAAAGCUAUCCAUGCGUAAGGAACUUAAGAGAAGGUGGCAAAGAGUAUCGUGCCAUGCCAUUCAUGCUAGACAAGCAACGGGGAUGCGGACAAGAGCUUGGUUUCAUCUCACGGAGGUAUCUGCGGAAAACCUUGGACCUCUCCAAUUUUUCCCUGUCAAACUCAUGCUACAGAGUUUCAAGCUCACGUUCAGCCACUAGGCAAGAAGAUGUUCGAGGCUAGAGAAAGCGACGUAUUCAACUACGGAUACAUGCUAGAAGCCUCCAUCGAUGGGAAACUCUUCCGUGGGCUGCUCUUCUUGUACAAGCCUGGCUUUGCUCAGGCAGUGCAAACUUACAUGGCAAGGAGGAAACCACAGGACGUCCAAAAGGCCGUAGUAAAGGCCAAACCGUGUGUAUGCAGCUGCAUUGGGUUGCUGAUGCAAGGAAAGUUUGCCGACUUUGUGGUGUUGUCCGAGUCUCCUUUUGGACAGGGCUUUUCCUCAAGUGGUUACAUUCGUUGGUGGAAAUAUUGCCUCCCUUUCUUAAGGCGUUAUUCCAUAAUUAUUUGGUCUUUUAAAUAUAGCAUAUUUGCGAGAAGAUUAAUCA